AUUCCAUGAUGAGGGAACUUUCAUAAUAACUCUUUGUACCUUUACCAUGCCUCAUACAGGGACAAAUCAUUCAUUUAUUGGAAGGCAGUGAUCUCAUUCCUCAACUU
rnacentral:snoRNA from 1 species